rnacentral:rRNA from 1 species
GUGGGGAAUUUUGGACAAUGGGCGAAAGCCUGAUCCAGCCAUGCCGCGUGCAGGAUGAAGGCCUUCGGGUUGUAAACUGCUUUUGUACGGAACGAAAAGACUCCUUCUAAUAAAGGGGGUCCAUGACGGUACCGUAAGAAUAAGCACCGGCUAACUACGUUCCAGCAGCCGCGGUAAUACGUAGGGUGCAAGCGUUAAUCGGAAUUACUGGGCGUAAAGCGUGCGCAGGCGGUUAUAUAAGACAGAUGUGAAAUCCCCGGGCUCAACCUGGGAACUGCAGUUGUGACUGUAUAGCUAGAGUACGGUAGAGGGGGAUGGAAUUCCGCGUGUAGCAGUGAAAUGCGUAGAUAUGCGGAGGAACACCGAUGGCGAAGGCAAUCCCCUGGACCUGUACUGACGCUCAUGCACGAAAGCGUGGGGAGCAAACAGGAUUAGAAACCCUAGUAGUCC